GCUCAGGAUGAACGCUGGCGGCGUGCUUGACACAUGCAAGUCGAGCGAAGCACUUAAGUUUGAUUCUUCGGAUGAAGACUUUUGUGACUGAGCGGCGGACGGGUGAGUAACGCGUGGGUAACCUGCCUCAUACAGGGGGAUAACAGUUAGAAAUGACUGCUAAUACCGCAUAAGACCACGGUACCGCAUGGUACAGUGGUAAAAACUCCGGUGGUAUGAGAUGGACCCGCGUCUGAUUAGGUAGUUGGUGGGGUAACGGCCUACCAAGCCGACGAUCAGUAGCCGACCUGAGAGGGUGACCGGCCACAUUGGGACUGAGACACGGCCCAGACUCCUACGGGAGGCAGCAGUA
rnacentral:rRNA from 1 species